rnacentral:rRNA from 1 species
UACGUCGGCCGCAAGCGUUGUUCGGAAUUACUGGGCGUAAAGAGUGUGUAGGCGGUGCUCUAAGUUCGGUGUGAAAUCUCCCGGCUCAACUGGGAGGGGUCAUUCGAUACUGGCGGGCUCGAGGCCGGUAGGGGGAAGUGGAAUUCCCGGUGUAGUGGUGGAAUGCGUAGAUAUCGGGAGGAACACCAGUGGCGAAGGCGGCUUCCUGGACCGGUUCUGACACUGAGGAGCGAAAGCGUGGGGAGCGAUCCGG